UUCCUCCCUGCCUAUUCAAUCUCUCCUCUAUGAACUCUUUGGACGUGGGAUCGAACAGAUUGCAUGGAAACCUUCCACCUAACUUAGGCCUCACUCUUCCUAAUCUCCAAGUGUUUUAUGCCCGAACAAACCAAUUCACAGGACCCAUACCAGUUUCGUUGUCCAAUUCCUCGAGCCUUGCACUUAUUGACCUUGGUUACAAUGGGUUUAGUGGAUCUGUGCCUCCGAGUUUUUCAAGACUGAGCGGUCUCAGCAGGUUAUUUUUGGGCAGCAAUCAACUUGGAAUUGGGACUAAUGACUUGAGUUUUCUCCAUUAUUUGACCAAUUGCAGUGAGUUACAAGAAUUGGAUGUAAGCAAUAACCGUCUCAGUGGUUCGUUACCUGACUCCAUGGCGAAUCUUUCCACCCAGCUGACGAUCCUCUUGUUAGGAGGUAAUAGAAUAUUUGGAAGCAUCCCAUCUGGGAUUCAGAAUCUUGUCGGCUUAACGCUAUUGGAUAUGGGGUCUAACUUUCUAAGAGGUCCUAUUCCUAUGGGUGUUGGGAAGCUUAACAAGAUCGGACGACUUGACUUUGGUGGAAAUCAUUUAUCAGGGACAAUUCCAUCUUCCUUGGGCAAUAUUAGCCAAUUGUUCCGACUCGAUUUGUUUGGAAACAAUCUAAGGGGGAGCGUACCUUCAAGUAUUGGAAAUUGUAUAAACUUGCAGUUUCUAUACCUCCAAAAUAAUAACUUAAGCGGUCCCUUACCUGCACCACUUUUCAGCAUUCCCUCUUUGAUUUAUCUUAAUCUUGGCAAUAACUCUUUUAUUGGUUAUCUACCAUUGGAAGUCGAUUACUUGAAAGUUCUUGGAAGAUUCGAUGUUUCUCGGAACAAAUUGUCAGGCGAAAUUCCAAGCACCCUAGGCACUUGUCUCAGUCUAGAGGAUGUCAGGUUGAAUGGGAACUUCUUUCAAGGAACAAUUCCUCCAACAUUUACUACUCUAAGAGGCCUUCAAUCCCUGGAUCUUUCACAAAACAACUUGUCUGGGGAGAUUCCAAAAUAUCUGGGGAAGCUUCUUGCUCUAGAGUAUCUAAAUCUGUCUUUCAAUAAUUUUGAGGGUGAAUUACCAGAACAAGGGGUCUUUCGAAAUGCCAGUGCAGUUUCAGUGCUUGGAAAUAUUAAGCUUUGUGGGGGUAUUAAAUAUUUACGACUGCCUCCAUGUCCUAGCCAAGAUUUCAAGAAACAGGGGAGGUCUCUUGCUUUGAAAGUAAAAAUCUCAAUAAUUGUUGUCCUGUGUCUUCUUUCAAUAACAUCUUUCUUUACCACUCUUUAUUGGGUAAGAAAGGCGAGAAGGAAACCUUCUGCUGAGGCUUCUGUGGAGAUAAGUUGAGAAGGAAACCUUUAGCUGUGCCUUCUGCCGUGGAUCUUUUUACGAACGUGUCUUAUGCAGAGCUCUUGAAAGCAACAGAUGGGUUCUCUUCUGCCAAUUUGGUUGGGACUGGGAGAUAUGGUGCUGUAUAUAAAGGGUUUCUGGAUCGUUAUGAACCUAUAGUAGCAGUAAAAGUCUUCAACCUCCAACGACAAGGAGCUAUGAGGGGCUUCAUGUCCGAAUGCGAAGCCAUGAGAAAUAUCAGGCAUCCGAAUAUUGUUAGGAUCUUAACUUGUUGCUCAAGCAUUGAUUUUAAGGGCCUUGAUUUCAAAGCUCUAGUUUAUGAGUAUAUGCCUCAUGGAAGUCUGGACAAGUGGUUGCACACAGAUGGCCGCGAACCGCUUUGGAGAAACUUGAAUUUCAGUGAAAGGCUAAACAUAGCUAUCGAUGUGGCUUCUGCUUUGGUUUAUCUCUGCCGAAGGUCGAUCAUUCAUCGAGAUAUAACGCCAGGCAACAUUCUUCUUGACGGUGCCAUGGUUGCUCGUGUGGGUGAUUUCGGGCUUGCCAAGUUAUUAGCUGAGGUUGCUAAAACUAGGACGGUUGUGAUGAUGGGCUCUGUUGGGUACAUCGCUCCAGAGUAUGCGAUGGGAGGUAAACCAUCCACACAAGGAGAUGUUUACAGCUAUGGAAUCCUUCUAUUGGAGAUGAUCACUGGAAAGGGGCCAACUAAUGACAUGUUUAAGAACAAUCUAACCCUUCAUCAUUUCGCUAAAUUGGCUUUGCCCGAACAAGUAAUGAAGAUUGUUGAUCCACGACUGCUUGAAGCAGAAGCAGAAGUUACUCAAAGCAACAGAAAUCAUAUCGAUAGAAGAAAUAGAAUGGGUGACUGCUUGAUUUCAAUGAUCAGAAUCGGUGUGAUAUGCUCCACGGAAUCUCCAAGAGAACGAAUGGAUAUUAAAGAUGUUCUCACGGAAAUGCAUGCAAUCAAGGACUUGUAUCUUGGCAAUGCGAUUCACAGAGAAAAAGUUUGGUCACAACUGUUAGAUGAAGGUCCGUCUUACAUUAAUCAUUACUAAGUUAUUAUUGGUAGUUAUGUUGAGAAAGAUUUCAAAAUAAAAUAAGAUUGUUGAAUACUUUUUAAUAAGCUCUAGAUAUAUUUAGUCUUAGCUUAGGAGUGAGCUUGUGUUGAUGGUGAAUAUAUAGCAAGAUGUCUUUUUUUUCUUUUUCUUUUUUCUUCUUUUUUGUUUUAUUUCAUGUGAGUCAAAGGGAGAUUGUAUCAUGAAUGUAAUGAGACAAAGGCAUCAUCUUAUUCCUAUAAGAGUACUAUUGGGUCA